CAGUAAGGUCUCGAUAGGUGACCUGCGGAGGGAUCAUU
rnacentral:rRNA from 1 species